GCACCUUCUCCAUAGUGAUUGGCUAGUAUUCUUCAAACAUGGCAACGGCAGCAAGCACACAGGGAUAGGCAGUGGGAGCCAGAGAAUGGGGAGAUGUGAAGCAAAAAAUGUCUACUUGAUCUGACAUGGACACUGCACUCAUGGACUCGAUGAAGCUGUGGCUGCUUACAUAAGACCCCAAAUGAUCCAGGCACUCAAUACUCCAUCAUGGCUAGAGGAGGGGUCUACAACAGACCACUACAGAGUUCCUCAUCUCCUGUCUUUGUAAGCAGUGUGUUUGGGCACUAGGAGUAAACAGUAACACUGGCCUUCAAGAGUAGAGGCACUUAAGAAUUAAUCAUUAACUUUGCUUAGAAAAAAAUCUACCUAGGUUAAUUCUGAUGUUAGUUCCUCUUUUAUGUAACAUGUCUCAAAGUGUUAAUAAAGGGAGAGCUGGAGAGAUGGCUCAGCAGUUAAAAGCAUGGCUACUCUUCCAGAGGUCCUGAAUUCAAUUCCCAGCAACCACAUGGUGGCUCACAACCAUCUAUAAGGGGAUCUGAUGCCCUCUUCUGGACUCCAGAUGUAUAUGCAGCAAAGCACUAGUACAUUAAAUUUAAAACAGUGUUAGUAAAGUUAUUUUGAAGAAUGAACAUCAGGUGUUCAAUCCUGUAAUUAUGAUUGCCCUUGGUGUCCACGUGGGAUUGGAUCCAAGACUCAACCCAUAACAAAACCUGCAGAUGCUUAAGUCUACUACUAAUCAUGUGGUCUAGCAUUUGCACAUAUUCUCUGCACAUUUUCCAAAGUACCUUCAAUGCCUACAGACUUGUAACAUCAUAUAAUGUACAUGGCA
rnacentral:lncRNA from 1 species